CCUUCACUGCCCUGGAAAGAAACCCAACAGACUCUCACAAUCAAACCCGGAGUGAAUAUAGCAAAUGAAAGGGUCGAAACAAUUAUAGAUGAAAUUAAUUCGAUGAGGGAGAGAAAGAGAAGAAUACAGAGAGGGGGGAGAAGGCCCAAGGCUCUCCGGCCACAGCGACAUCGCUGACGACGGCGGAUUGAAGCUCGGAUUUCUGAUGGCAGCGCCCGAUACUUGGAUGGUGGUCGAUCAUCCGAAAAGACUGGUCGUUGGGCUGAUCUGGUGGUGGUUAAAGAUCAGGUGAUGGAUUAACCGAGGGUUGAAUGGCACCAUCAUCCUCUUAAAUCGAUCAAGCUUGCAACCUGGCCAUAAUGCUGAAUCUUCCAACAUCUGACAUGAUAGAAUCAUGCUCCAUAGCUGGUCCUGGCUUUAUAAACGUUAAGUUAUCAACACAAUGGAUAGCCAAGAGAAUCCAGAAUAUGCUAUAACAGAUGGCAUUGACACAUGGGCACCAAGGCUCUCUGUCAAAAGGGCGAUAGUUGACUUUUCAUCACCCAACAUUGCAAAGGAAAUGCAUGUAGGUCAUUUGAGGUCAACUAUCAUUGGAGACACGAUAGCCCGUAUGCUUGAGUAUUCUAAAGUUGAUGUGCUUCGCAGAAACCAUGUUGGGGAUUGGGGCACUCAG